UACGAAGGGGGCUAGCGUUGCUCGGAAUUACUGGGCGUAAAGGGCGCGUAGGCGGAUAGUUUAGUGAGAGGUGAAAGCCCAGGGCUCAACCUUGGAACUGCCUUUCAUACUGGCUAUCUUGAGUACGGGAGAGGUGAGUGGACUCCGAGUGUAGAGGUGAAAAUUCGUAGAUAUUCGGAAGAACACCAGUGGCGAAGGCGGGUCUCUGGACAGUUCCUGACGCUGAGGCACGAAGGCCAGGGGAGCAAACGGGG
rnacentral:rRNA from 1 species